rnacentral:rRNA from 2 species
UGAGGAAUAUUGGUCAAUGGGCGGAAGCCUGAACCAGCCAUGCCGCGUGAAGGACUAAGGCCCUAUGGGUCGUAAACUUCUUUAGACGCAGAGCAAUAAGGGUCUCGUGAGAUCCGAUGAGAGUAUGCGUAGAAUAAGCAUCGGCUAACUCCGUGCCAGCAGCCGCGGUAAUACGGGGGAUGCGAGCGUUAUCCGGAUUUAUUGGGUUUAAAGGGUGCGUAGGCGGAAGUGCAAGUCAGCGGUGAAAUCCCCGCGCUCAACGCGGGAGUUGCCGUUGAUACUGUACAUCUGGAAUGCUCUUGCCGUGGGAGGAAUGAGUAGUGUAGCGGUGAAAUGCAUAGAUAUUACUCAGAACACCGAUUGCGAAGGCAUCUCACGAAGGGGCGAUUGACGCUGAGGCACGAAAGCGUGGGUAUCGAACAGG